rnacentral:rRNA from 1 species
AUUGAACGCUGGCGGCAUGCUUUACACAUGCAAGUCGAACGGCAGCAUGGGUGCUUGCACCUGAUGGCGAGUGGCGAACGGGUGAGUAAUGUAUCGGAACAUAUCCGCAAGUGGGGGAUAACGUAGCGAAAGUUACGCUAAUACCGCAUAUUCCCUGAGGGGGAAAGGAGGGGAUCCGCAAGGACCUUUCGCUUACGGAGUGGCCGGUAGCAGAUUAUCUAGUUGGAGAGGUAAAGGCUCACCAAGGCUUCGAUCUGUAGCGGGUCUGGGAGGAUGAUCCGCCACACUGGGACUGAGACACGGCCCAGACUCCUACGGGAGGCAGCGGUGGGGAAUUUUGGACAGUGGGGGCAACCCUGAUCCAGCCAUGCCGCGUGAGUGAAGAAGGCCUUCGGGUUGUAAAGCUCUUUCAGCUGGAAAAAAAUCGCUUCACCUAAUACGUGGAGUGGAUUAUGUUACCAGCAGAAGAAGCACAGGCUAACUACGUGCCAGCCGCCGCCGUAA